rnacentral:rRNA from 1 species
UACGUAGGGUGCAAGCGUUAAUCGGAAUUACUGGGCGUAAAGCGUGCGCAGGCGGUUAUGUAAGACAGAUGUGAAAUGCCCGGGCUUAACCUGGGAACUGCAUUUGUGACUGCAUGGCUAGAGUUUGGCAGAGGGGGGUAGAAUUCCACGUGUAGCAGUGAAAUGCGUAGAUAUGUGGAGGAACACCGAUGGCGAAGGCGGGUCUCUGGGCCGAUACUGACGCUGAGGAGCGAAAGCGUGGGGAGCGAGCAGG